GGGUCUAAUACUGGAUACUACCUCUUACCGCAUGGUGGGUGGUGGAAAGGGUUUUACUGGUUUUGGAUGGGCUCACGGCCUAUCAGCUUGUUGGUGGGGUAAUGGCUCACCAAGGCGACGACGGGUAGCCGGCCUGAGAGGGUGACCGGCCACACUGGGACUGAGACACGGCCCAGACUCCUACGGGAGGCAGCAGUGGGGAAUAUUGCACAAUGGGCGGAAGCCUGAUGCAGCGACGCCGCGUGAGGGAUGACGGCCUUCGGGUUGUAAACCUCUUUCAGUAGGGAAGAAGCGAGAGUGACGGUACCUGCAGAAGAAGCGCCGGCUAACUACGUGCCAGCAGCCGCGGUAAUACGUAGGGCGCAAGCGUUGUCCGGAAUUAUUGGGCGUAAAGAGCUCGUAGGCGGUUUGUCGCGUCUGCUGUGAAAGCCCGGGGCUCAACCCCGGGUCUGCAGUGGGUACGGGCAGACUAGAGUGCAGUAGGGGAGACUGGAAUUCCUGGUGUAGCGGUGAAAUGCGCAGAUAUCAGGAGGAACACCGAUGGCGAAGGCAGGUCUCUGGGCUGUUACUGACGCUGAGGAGCGAAAGCAUGGGGAGCGAACAGGAUUAGAUACCCUGGUAGUCCAUGCCGUAAACGUUGGGCACUAGGUGUGGGGGACAUUCCACGUUUUCCGCGCCGUAGCUAACGCAUUAAGUGCCCCGCCUGGGGGAGUACGGCCGCAAGGCUAAAACUCAAAGGAAUUGACGGGGGGCCCGCACAAGCGGCGGAGCAUGCGGAUUAAACUCGAUGCUAUCGCGAAGAAACCUUACCAAGGCUUGACAUUCACCGGACCGCCCCAGAGAUGGGGGAUUCCCUUUCGGGGCUGGGUGGACAGGUGGU
rnacentral:rRNA from 1 species